AAAGCCAAAAGAAGAAUGCCACAACUCCCUUGAAACAGUGGAAAGUUGGUGACAAGUGUUCUGCUGUUUGGUCAGAAGACGGCUGCAUUUACCCAGCUACUAUUACGUCCAUUGACUUUAAGAGAGAAACCUGUGUCGUGGUUUAUACUGGAUAUGGAAACAGAGAGGAGCAAAACUUAUCUGACCUACUUUCCCCGACCUGUGAAGUAGCUAAUAGUACAGAACAGAACACUCAGGAGAAUGAAAGUCAAGUUUCCACAGACGACAGUGAACACUCCUCCAGAUCGCUCAGAAGUAAAGCACACAGCAAGUCCAAAGCUGCUCCGUGGACCUCAAGCAUGCUCUAAAGAACGGUGACAUUUGUGAAACUCCAG
rnacentral:sRNA from 1 species